GUAACACGUAUCCAACCUUCCCAUAACUCAGGGAUAGCCUUUCGAAAGAAAGAUUAAUACCUGAUAGUACUUUUUCAAGGCAUCUUGAGAAAGUUAAAGAUUUAUUGGCUAUGGAGUGGGGAUGCGUUCCAUUAGAUAGUUGGUGAGGUAACGGCUCACCAAGUCUUCGAUGGAUAGGGGUUCUGAGAGGAAGGUCCCCCACAUUGGUACUGAGACACGGACCAAACUCCUACGGGAGGCAGCAGUGAGGAAUAUUGGUCAAUGGGCGAGAGCCUGAACCAGCCAAGUAGCGUGAAGGAUAGAAGGUCCUAUGGAUUGUAAACUUUCUUUUAUAGUAGAAUAAAGUGAUCCACGUGUGGAUUUUUUGUAUGUAUACUAUGAAUAAGGAUCGGCUAACUCCGUGCCAGCCGCUGC
rnacentral:rRNA from 1 species